CAAACCUUGUGCAGAUGGAAGAACAGCGUUUUGCUCGUUCAAGCUCUGGUUCUAACUCCAGAGAGAAAACCACGACCACGACUACGGUCGCAGGAGCAACUACAGCUUCAUUAACUCUGACCCAGCUCCUGGCCCUGCUCCGACAACUACUCAAUCAGUAAUGAUCAAAUUCUGUGGCUGCUGUUUUAACCAGAUGCCUUCUAUUCACUCAACAAUUGGACAAAUAUCAUUCUUCACCAAGUUUUGACUAAAAAUAAACAUGUUCAGUGCAAACUUU